UGACGCGGCCGUGUGCGGGGCUCGCGGAGUCUGUGCGUGGCGGUGGCAAGCCCCAGGGUUCGGUAUUGUUAUGGUGAUUAUUUGCCAAUAAUCAAAGUCGCCGCCGGAAACUCAGCCGAGGGCGACCAUGGUCCGGGCGCCUCCUCCGUGCGGGCCCCGCCCCGGGCCGCGCUCGCAUGUGCUCGCACAAACUCGCACUCGAGUGCCUGGACGCGCCGGGCCGGGGAGCCCGGCUCUAUUCGCUGGACCCUCGGGCGACCGCGCAGAGGCCGCUGGCGCCGUAGUGGGGACCCGCGCCCCUCCGCGCACUUGAAGCGCAGCGCGUCCUCCGAUUGGCGCGCUCUGGGGGGGCUCGGGGAGGGGCGCCGGCCCGGCCAUUGGCCGAGGGGCGCACCUGUCACCGUCCCGGCCGCCCGCCGCCCCGCCCCUGCGCCGCGGGGUCCUAAACAACCGGGGUGCUGAGCCGCGAUGGCGGAGCGGGGACCGCGCCCGGGGUGGCCAGACUCAGAGGCUCCACGUAGGGACCCUGCUCGCCCUCCUGCAAGUGCUGAGCGGGACUGCGGGCGAUAGCACCCUUGGGUCCCCGUGUGGGCCCCGCUGUCUGAGGCCAGCUCCGGAGACACGCCGUCCCGCUCUGGGCUCGGCGUCCCCUAGAGCCCGCGGCUUGCUUCUUCUCGCGCCUCCUCUCCAGCACUUGCGUUUGUGCACUUCUGCGACGGGGAGCCCACGUUGCUUGCAGAUCUAGCUGCUUUGCUCAAUGACCGCAGCACAACGAAGAUCAAAUCGGUCCCCAAGCCCUGCUCCUGGGUCUCCAGGGUGCACGGGAGCAGUUUGUGUCCCUGUCAACCCUCUGCAGGUCGGACCUCAUCAUCUCCUCGGGGAAGUCCUGUGCGUUUCAGGUGUUGUGUGUGUGUGUGAGCGACAGUUUGCCUUCCACAAGUCCUCGCCUUGAGCCCCUGCCCCGUCUAAGCAGAGACGGCAGAGUCUGUGAGCCCCGCGGCCUGCAGGACCCAGGUCGGCUUGGAGACGUUGCCCACCUGCCAGUGAGAGGGUCCUCGGUGACAGAGCUCUUCUUGUCUGCGGAAGGGUACCCAUGGGCAUGCAAGAGACAGCACCCACCUCCGUUCUGGAAAGCCUGCGGGAGCCGGGAGUCCUCCCGAGGCCAGUCACUCUGACCCUGUACCCAUGCUACUAAACCCCGCAACGUCCUCGGCGGGCGAGCCGUGGUGCGAGUCCUCCCCCUGAGACCAGCUGAGAGAGCUUCCUGGAAGCACAGACUGGACAGUCUCCAGGUGACUCCCCUCUCCAGCAGCCCCAGGGGCGGUAGCCAGCCCUGGAAUGAUUGGGGGAACCCUCAAUUUCCGGUUUUCGAUUUCUGGAGCAACAGCAAAGGCCUGGUGCACCUUUCAUCAUCUUGGCCCCUUCCCUGCCUGGGAGCCCUUUUCUCUCUCCACACAGUCUCGCUUCAAGAUACUGAAUACCACCUGCAGUCACCCUUCUCCCACUAUGUAGAAAGGAGAAUCGGUGGUUUAUACCAACAAUCGCAGAAGAAAAAGCUGUAAUUCCAUGUCUAUUCAUGUCUGAAUUAUAUAUGUAUGAGGUUGGGAAUAAAACCU